GAGGGGACCUGCUUCUUAAAAUUUGCUUCCUCUUCCUGUUGGAAGCUUCAUAGUCUUCAUCAAGAUCCUUAUUAUUUCUUGCUAUUUGUGAACCUCCCUGCUUUCAAGUCCUCUUCAAUUGUUUCUUCAGGCCAGACAUUCCAUAUGAGAAGGACUGAGAGUUCAAGGAUGCUGCAAUUAACGGCCUGGACAGAGGAUGGGGACAUGAAUAAUGGUAGAGUCCAGCAUUAGCACAACACUCCAUUCAUCACUGCUGAAGGGCAAAUGCAUAACCCUCAAAAUGAUCCUGGAAAGAGGAAAAGGGAGAGGAAUUGCAAGUUCCAUGGAACAGUGAUUUACCAUGCAGCAGAGGAUGUGAGCAUCUCCGAAAUAGAAGGGUCCACAUAUUUUGAACUUUAACAUAUAUAAUGAUACUUAUAAUGUGACUGUUACGGGCAGCUGAUUUUUCAUACAAUUGACAUGUGAGUAUUUUCCAGGCAGGCAUCUUAUUUCCUGUGUAUGUGCCCCCUAUUUAUGCAGGACCAUCAACAGGACCAACAUUGAGUAGAAAUCAGUCACAGCAAACCACUUUCCUUUUUAUUUCAUGUACUCUGUACCCUCCUUUAAUGGCAACAUAAUUGCAUCAUAUCAUUGGUUUGUAGUGUGGAGGCUGUGGGUCUGAUUUUUAGUUUCCCAAUCCGUGCAGAAUAUUCAGAAGAAUAGAGGGUUGGAGACCUCUAGUUCAGGUCAAAAUCAGUGUGAAAGGCUUGACUUUGGAAAGGGUAAAGAGAGUUCAAUUUAAACUGAGUCUCCAGCUAGGGGCAGGGAGAGGAAAGAGGAGUUAGUCUCCCACAAGAGGAGACUAGCAUAAUCUUUGUGCCCUAAUUAGGCAUCCUUGGGCUUAGGGAAUUACUAGGGGAUACGGGAGUGUAAUGCAGGAAAACCAAGGCAGAAGUCAUGUCCGAGAGUCUGGAUCAAUCCUUCAGGGCAGGGGGUGGAGCAAGGGAAGAAAGGGGAGCUGUGCCAAGGGGUCUACCAGUGGGCCCAGGGCAGAUCCCAAGUCCAUAAGCAAUAGGAUCAGGUCCAGGUACCACCUUCUUGAAAUCUGAGGCUGCUGCUGUACUUCCUGCCCCUGCUACCUUGGGCCUGGGGCUGUAAAUGUCAUCAGAUAGUCCACCUGGAAGGGCCUGUGGAAAGCAAAAUCAGAGAAACAAGGCAGGAGCUGGCCACUUGUGAAAUUUUUCCUGGAAACUCUGUCAUGGAAUCAUGUUUUAGAUACCAGAAGGAAGGGCUGCUCUGACUAACUGACCAUGAAUCGGAGAAGAGGCCUGCGAUGAUCUAGGCAGUGGGUUAUGGGAGAGGAAUGGAAAACUGCAGAAUGGAUUCUCCAGCCCAUUCAGCGCUCAUACUACAUGGGCAUGUUCACAGACCUGCAGGCUUUGCCUUUGUCUGUCUCCCUGCUUUUGGAAGGGAUGGCACAGCUUUGCCCCCUUUCCUGGAGGCACAGUAGUCUGACUUGAGUCUUUCGCUGUCUUCUGUAUCCAACUCAUUCAUGAAAUUAUAUGAGAUAAUUUCCAAAUAAGUGACUUUUUUGGCUUAUUUGCCCAAUUGACUUAAUUAUUGCCGGUUUAUUCUUCUUGUUUUGGAUUCCUUGAGCUGAGAGAGUGAAAAAGGGAGUUUAUUUAAGAAGAUAAGGACAGAUUAGGUUUUCAAUUUGGUGGUAUGAUGCAGUCUGCUUUCUUAACUCUAUUAUGACCUAUUUAGUGUUUGUUUUUCUCUUAUUGUGGAAGUAACAUAUGCUGAUUAUAGAGAUAUAGAAAAAGAUAAAAAGUAUCCAUUUCAAUUGACCAAUAAUGUCCUCUCAGCAAUUUGGUGUAUAUCAUGUAUUUUUAAAUAAACAGAUUGCUUUGUAAAUACACUUUAUAUCUUACUGUUGUAACAUUAAAAAAAAGGUGGUUAAAAUGGCGAGCAAGUGCAGAACAGCAGCACUUGGAAAGUAAGCUGGGGAUGGCAAAAGCCUCAAUUUCUGUUUCCACAAAGCACUCUGUUCUCUUUGUUGAUCACUGAGACCCAGAAGCUACCAUCUCCAGUGGAACUGGAACCUUUGUUUUUCUUGAUCUCUGCAUCGUGUGGCUCAGCCCCGGUUGGAACUGAAGCUUGGAAUAAAGCCACAGUGAGCUGGGUCACACUGUUUCUUAGACUUCCCCCCACAGUACCUUGUUUGGAGAGAAUUAUAACUGAAAGGGAAAAAAUUCCCUCUGGCAAGAAACUUGGCUUAGAAAUGCUCAUUUGGAGAAGCUUAUUAUUAUUAUUAUUUUUUGGUUUUGCUGUUUAAAUAAGGUCACUGCUAUAAAUCAAUGUUUGUGAGUGUUAGAGAAGACCAAGUAAAUAAAUAAAGCCCUACGUAUUUAUUGUAAACAGAAACACCCUAGAGGUUCUCCAGGGGAAGAGAGAGUGAGAGAAAGGUCACCAUUUCUUGCAUACAGAAAAUUAACUGUUUCAUUAGUUUAGAUAGAAACACAUUUUUUCUUUAAAAUUAGUUAUGAGGAAAAUAUUUCCAAGUUUGUGCCUCUUAUUAGGUGUAUGAAGUAUCAAAAAUAUUAAGUACAACUAACAGCAUUAGGACUUGUUCUCACCUCAACUCCAUCAUCUGAAUAAAACCACUGAAAAAGAGAAAAACAGCUCCUGACGUAAGGAAACUGGCCUGAUAUUUACAUCUAGUUCAUAGUGUUUGCCUGUUGGACACAAAUGAUCUCAUAGAACAUCAACAACAGACCAAGGCACUCUGACUAUAAUGGAGUGAGAGAAAAAACAAGUGAGACAAGACAACUUCAAAAUUUUGUCUAAGCACAGGCAAAACCAAAUGACCCAAAUACCAGACAUCCUCCUCUCUUGGCUAACAUGAGUGACUAUCAAAGCUUUAGCCUCUAUGUGUUCCUCUUGACUUAUAGAGAAGAUUCAUUAGGAUACUGAUAUGGUUUGGCUCUGUAUCCUCACCCAAAUCUCAUCUUGUAGCUCCCAGAAUUCCCACGUGUUAUGGGAGGGACCCAGUGGGAGAUAAUUGAGUCAUGAGGGCGGGUCUUUCCUGUGCUGUUCUCGUGAUAAUAAAUAAGUCUCAUGAGAUCUGAAGGUUUUAAAAAUGGGAGUUUCCCUGCACAAGUUCUCUUCUCUUGUCUGCUGCCAUGUGAGAUGUGCCUUUCACCUUCUGCUGUGAUUGUGAGGCCUUCCCAGCCACAUGGAACUGUAAGUCCAAU
rnacentral:lncRNA from 10 species